UACGGAGGAUCCAAGCGUUAUCCGGAUUUAUUGGGUUUAAAGGGUGCGUAGGCGGCCUGUUAAGUCAGGGGUGAAAGACGGUAGCUCAACUAUCGCAGUGCCCUUGAUACUGAUGGGCUUGAAUGGACUAGAGGUAGGCAGAAUGAGACAAGUAGCGGUGAAAUGCAUAGAUAUGUCUCAGAACACCGAUUGCGAAGGCAGCUUACUAUGGUCUUAUUGACGCUGAGGCACGAAAGCGUGGGGAUCAAACAGG
rnacentral:rRNA from 1 species